AACGAACGCUGGCGGCAUGCCUAACACAUGCAAGUCGAACGAGACCUUCGGGUCUAGUGGCGCACGGGUGCGUAACGCGUGGGAACCUGCCCGUAGGCUCGGAAUAACUCCCCGACAGGGGUGCUAACGCGGGGAAACUUAUGCGAACAAAGGAUUUGACCCGUUGGUGUGGGCCGGGGUUGAUUUAGCUGGUUGUUAGGGAAAAAUCCUACCACGGCGCCGCUCAUUAGCUGGGCUGUGAGGAUGCUCAGCCACACUGGGACUGGGACCCGGCCGAGACUCCUACGGGAGGCAGCAGUGGGGAAUAUUGGACAAUGGGCGAAAGCCUGAUCCAGUAAGGCUGGGUGAGUGAUGAAGGCCUGAGGGUUGUAAAGCUCUUUUACCCGGGAUGAUAAUGACAGUACCGGGAGAAUAAGCUCCGGCUAACUCCGUG
rnacentral:rRNA from 1 species